UCUUGGAGCCCUGGGCCCCAUUGGUGCAAAUGGAAUGAAUGGGGACACUGGACCUCGAGGACUAAAAGGAUUACCUGGAAAAACAGGAGCUCCUGGCCUCCAAGGACAUGUAGGGAAGAGUGGUGAAGCUGGCAGUAGAGGAACGAAGGGGACACCAGGAAAGCCAGGACAGAGGG